rnacentral:misc_RNA from 1 species
CACUGAACCUUAUCAUUUAGAGGAAGGAGAAGUCGUAACAAGGUUUCCGUAGGUGAACCUGCGGAAGGAUCAUUAUCGAAACCUGCCCAGCAGAACGACCAGUGAACAUUUUCAACAACCACGGGGCCACGUGGGCUUCGGUCCUCGUCGGACCCAUUGCGUCAUGGGGGGUGGAGCCGGCCGCAAGCAUCGUCUUGCAUCGUGCUCUUUCACCCAUGGCCUGUAACCAACCCCGGCGCGAGACGCGCCAAGCAAUCUAAACUAAAAGAGCACGCUCUCGCAGGGCCCCGGGAACGGUGAGCCCACGGGACGCGUCUUCCUCUUUUGAAAACCAAAAUGACUCUCGGCAACGGAUAUCUCGGCUCUCGCAUCGAUGAAGAACGCAGCGAAAUGCGAUACUUGGUGUGAAUUGCAGGAUCCCGCGAACCAUCGAGUCUUUGAACGCAAGUUGCGCCCAAAGCCUUUUGGCCGAGGGCACGUCUGCCUGGGUGUCACGCAACUGUCGCCCCCAAUCCCUCGCCUGUGCGUGGGCUGCGUGGGGCGGAUGCUGGCCUCCCGUGUGCUCCAUGCUCGCGGUUGGCCUAAAAUCGUAGUCCUCGGCGACGAUCGUCACGGCAAUCGGUGGUUGGAAGGCCCUCGGAUACUGCCGUGUACGACCGUCCGCUGGAAGGAAAAAUGGUGACCCGGCUGCGUCCUUAAAAGGCACGCUCGCUCUGCGACCCCAGGUCAGGCGGGAAUACCCGCUGAGUUUAAGCAUAUCA